rnacentral:rRNA from 1 species
GACGUAGGGCGCAAGCGUUGUCCGGAUUUAUUGGGCGUAAAGAGCUCGUAGGCGGCUCGUUGCGUCGGCUGUGAAAACUCGGGGCUUAACCCCGAGCCUGCAGUGGAUACGGGCAGACUAGAGGUAGGUAGGGGAGAAUGGAAUUCCCGGUGUAGCGGUGAAAUGCGCAGAUAUCGGGAGGAACACCGGUGGCGAAGGCGGUUCUCUGGGCCUUACCUGACGCUGAGGAGCGAAAGCGUGGGGAGCGAACAGG